rnacentral:lncRNA from 1 species
GGUGGACACAUGAGAAGACAUAGGAUUAAUAAUGAAGGGUUUUCAUCUUCUUCAAUAAAUUAUCAAGUGAUAGCAAAAUCUUCUCCUGUUUUGAAAAGAUCGAAUAGCAAGAGAGUUAUGAUCAUGGAAUUGGAUUUGAAUUUGACACCUUUAGAAAAUGACUUGAAGUUGUUGUUUGGAAACAACGCACCUAAAGUUGAUAAUUCUUUGGUCUGAUUUUAGUCUCGCCAAAUUUUUGAACAUAUUAUCAUGAUGUAUUCUUUCGUUUUUUUUUUUUUUUGUAAGUAGUGACAUUUAUGGAUUCAUUUAUCUAGUAAAAUAAUAUUUAUAUAUGAUAUGUUACAUCAUACACUUUAAUUCUUUCAUUAUCAAUAGAGUGGUGAUAGGUGAACCACCCUAGGUGGCAUACCACCAUAUACACCUUCCACAUGUAAAAAAAAUAAUAUAAAGUAAUCAUUUUAAGUGCCUUUAUUUUAUUUUUUAUUUAUUUUAUUAAUCAAUUAAAAACAACACAUCCAACCAUUGACUUUUCCUCUUUCCUUUCUCUGCCUCGCCAGCCACCGGCAACGGCCGCUUUGUUCGUUUCUCAUCUCGACGGUGACGGCGCCGGAAUAAUAAAAACCCAGAUCUAUGCCACAACUGUCCUCCUCUCAUCUCGCCGCCACUAUCAUCACCGCCAUCGUAGCAACCACGCCGUCGUUUUUUGAAACACCGUUAUCUUCCACCUAUCUCUCUCGCCUCCUUCGCCUUCUUUCUUCCUCUCUCAAAUCUGAUCUGGAAACACCGCCGCCCUCUCCCCCAUCAACACCGCCGCCCUCAAGUCAGAUCUGAAAACUCAAAUGAGAAAGAACAAGCAAAGUCAUAAAGAGAAUGCAGAGAUGAGAGAGAGAGAGAGAGAGAGAGAGAGAGAGAGAGAGAAGGGGAACGUUUGAGUGAGGUCAAUGACAACGGAGAUGGUGGUGACGACGGUGGUUCAUAGCCGGUGAGGAGAAGGAAGGAAAAAGGAAGAAAGUGAGAGUGUGUGUUUCACGUUGCAGAGGAGGAAUGGAGAGAGUGACAGGAUUGAAAAAAAGGGUUUGCGAAAUUACCAAAAAUACCCUGCCAUAUAAGGGUGUAUAGAGAAGUGGUAUGGAAAAAGGGUGUUUAUGAAUCAUUUUCCUUCUCAAUAUGAUAUGAUGGAACUACACUUACUCUAUAAUCGGAGACAUAGACAUACUUAAUCAAAUUAUGUAACUAAACAUUAAAACCGUGUUUCUUUAGAUAUUUUUGUUUUACCGUUUCACUUAUCCCUUAUAUCAAGUUGGUGUUCUGACAAUUAUUAACAAGUUGAAAGUCAAACGUGACUAGUUAGUUACACAUCGACUAUUAAUAGAUGAAAGAUUUGAUAAAUAAGAGAGGUAACUGAUAUACUACUUAUAUACUCCCUCCAUUUUUAUUUAUAAACAAAAAUAAGUCAAAGAAAAUCAAUGUAUUUAGUCUUAACUUUGUAUUAAAUAUAUCAAUUUUUAUCAACAUAUUUCUGUUUAUAAAUAAGAACGAAGAGAGUACUUAAUAUAAAAAUGAUGUGUCAAUGUUUUGAUGGGUCGAGACAUAACUAGUUAGUGGUUCCUUCUGCCACUCCCUGGGACCACCCAACAUAAUGAUAAAUGUGGCUGCAUCCUUUUUAUUAUUAGUCAUUUUUAACUUCUGAAAUAAACUACAAUACAACACUUUGAUUUUUGUAUUUUCAAAAUCUGCUGCUAUUUUUUAUUUGACAACUACAAACACAUAUGAAGGAGUGUGUCUUCCUUAGGGAUUAAGAUAAAUUAUACUGCUGUAGCACUAAUGUUUAGAUGUGAAAGUGAAACUGUUAUACCAACCAAUCAGAACACAAAGAAAAACAUGUUUUUGCAACUCAAUUGAUCAAAUUCCCGUUUUUGGACCAAGUUGGUGCAUUUUGAAUGGAGACCGAAAUUCCCUCACAUGUACCCAUACAACAACGCAUUCCACACAAACGAAUCUUCCAACUUUUAGUAUUAAUACUAGAAACUAGAAAAUGUACAAGAAUAUUCUUGCAAAAAAUAAUGUAAGUUUUGAACGUUGUACUUGUAGAACAAGUAGCUUAGUGCUCAAGGUUCAUUCACUCGGUUGCUCAAUAUCCCGAAACUCCUUUUGGAUAUAGUAGUAACUUGUGACGCAUUUAUUGAUAUUCGUGGUCUGGUUUUAAAUUAAUAUUUGUUUUGGGGCAUGAAACUUAAAUUAAGAAAGAGCAGUCCUAUAUAUCAAGAAAGAUUUUAUCACGAAACAGUGUUAAAAUAAAUGUUAACAAAUAAAAUUUAUGUCUGGCCGGAAAUUAUGGGGUGGUGUAUCAUAUGUAUUUUUUUUUUUUUAAUGAAACGGUAAUCAAAUAAGACUGAAAUCUAAGGGAUAGUAUUCUGCCAUGUCAUUUUUGAAGAAAUCGUGAUUUCACAUUUCGUUGUACUUAGCAUUACGUACUAGUUAACUUUUUUUGGAAAAUAAAUUAUGAAUUAUUUUAUAUAAAUCACAUUCAUAAAUAAUAUGAAAAAAAAAAUUAUAAGGGUCGAAAAGAAAAUAGUAAAUACUAAUUAGGAUAUAAUGGUCGAGAUUCAUUCACUGAAGUAUAUAUUUUUCAACUCCAGUAGAUUUUGGAUCGUGCUAAUACUGCAAAAAAACAUUUUAAAAUACGUGAAAUUGGAUUGGAUAUCGAUAACCUGUAGAUAAAAUUAAUAUAAAAAUAUGAUAUAAUAUUAACUGAUUGAAUAAUUAAAACAUACCCAAUAUAAUGAAACUCCUAUUUACCAAGUGUCUAUAUAUAUUAUUUUUAUAGGAAAAAAGAAGAAUUGUUACUUUCUUUUGUAGGCAAGAAGAGUUGUUACUUACCUUUUAGCAAUUACCCAAACAUCUAAGUUAUUCAAAUAAUUUAGAAAUAUUUGAUAUAUAAGAGAGAUUUUUCAAAUUAUAAUUCAAUGUUUUAAAAUUUUAGAUAAAAGUUUUGUGUCAAAGUCUUGGACGAUUGACCCAUUACUACUCUUGCCCGACUCCCCAAAAUAAACCAUAAUAGUACAUUAUUAAUGUAGCUGCAUUCUUUUAAUUCUAGUCAUUUUCAACUUCUUUAACAUCCUUAAAAAAAAAACUUGUUUUAACUACAAUGUCAGCCGAUAGAUUUUUCUAUUUUUCAAGAUUUGCUGCUCUUUUUUAAUUUGACAACUACAACGCACGUGAAGGAGUAUGUAUGAUGGCUUCCAAUCAGGAUUAAGCUAACCAAUUUUCAGAUGUGAAACUACCAAUCAGAACACCAAAGAAAAACAAGUUUUUGCCACUCAUAAUUUGAUAUAUUCCCGAUUUUGGCACACAUUUACUUAUGACGGUGUCCGUGUUGGAAUGGAGACAGAAAAUCCGUUCACCCUUACGACAUGGCACUCCACCCACACAAACGAAUUUUCUAACAUUAAAACUUACUAGAAACUGUACCAAAAUAUUCUUACAAAAAGUCAUAGAAGUUUCAUUGAACUUUUUACUUGUGCAACAAGUAGCUUAGUUCUCAAGCUUCAUUCACUCGGUUGCUCAAUAAUUCAAAACACGUAAGUAUUUGGAUUCUAUAUGAUAUAGACAUAGUAGUAAUGUGUGACACACAUUUAUUCAUACCGGUCAUCUUGUUUUAGAUUAAUGGGAAAGGGAAAGGGAAAUGCUGCAUGUUACGAACUUAUGUUGGGUAGCAAAUGCUUUAAUUUACGUCCAACCACUUUGUGUAUUUCGUGAAAGGAACAUCUAACGGCAGAAAUGAAUUUUUUAUGCUUUCGUUAAAUUGUCGCUCGCGAGAAAUAACAAUGCUUUUAAUUAAAACACGACCUUGUCUUAAAAUAUUCUCCUUUUAUCCUAAAUUCUACGUCACUUCGAUAAUCUCAAAUAAAUUAAAAAUAUAUAAUCUAUGGAAAUGUGUGCAAUCGAUACAUUUUAAAUAAAUACAUUUGAGAAUUUUAUUUUUUCUUAGAAUUCUUAAAGAGUGCCUUAAGGACACUCGUUAACAAGACCCAUUAAAAUUAUAUUAAGAUAAUUGAAAAAAAGAAAGAAUGACAAGUAAAUGGUAUAAUAGAAAAAUAAAUAAUAUUACUCAUUUAUAUUGCAUAACAAUUUAUAAUUUGAGAUGAAAGGAGUAAGUCACUUUGACACAUGACACUCAAUUUAAGAAAACAUAGUUAAUUUAUAUAGGAAAGAUAUAUUAUGAAUUACUUUAUAAAAUUGGCUUUCAGUAAUAGUAUGAGAAAAAUAAAUUACAGCAAUUUAGAAAAGAGAAAAUUAUAAAUUGUUAGAGUAAAAUAGAAAAAACAAAAUUAACAUUUCAUUGUUAAAGUAAAAAAAAGCACGUGAAAUUUUUUUUUUUCACCGAUCUCAUUUAUAAGCGAAUUUGAUGACCACAUAUAUCAUUUAUUCAAUAAAUCUAAAAAUUAAAUUUGCUUAUAAAUAAAACUGGAGAGAGUAUGACAUAUAAAAUGAGACACGUGCGGCUAAAACUUAUAUUGUGAGAUGAAUUAAUAUUAAUGAAACAAUAAAGGUUAUUUAGAGAUGUCCUCGUGAGCUUAGCUCAGUUGGUAGGGACAUUGCAUAAUUUAUGCAAGAGCCGAGGUUCGAAUCCCAGAUACCCCACUUCUCCACAUUUAGUUGUGUGAACUCUAGCCACUAGGCUACUAGACAAAAAAAAAAGGUUAUUUAGAGAUGAAUGAGACAAGACAUGACAACAAAACCCACCCCGCCCCGAAUUUAACGGGGAAAAGCCGAUUUAAUUGGGUGUGGGUGUGGGGGAAAUUUGGAUUUUUAGUAUGGGGGUGGGUCCGGGUCCGGGUCCGGGGAUUCUUACACCCGCCUUUUGAAAUUGAUUUUAUUAAAUUUUAUAAUCUUAUUUCGAUAAGCAUGAACCUAUUUUAAUACAUUAUUACUCUUUAGAAACAUAUUUAUUAUAAUUAUUUUUCUCUUGUUGAAAAAAGUUUAUUAGAUAUUUAAUUAUUAAUAUAAUUUUUUUAAAGAGGAUUAUUAAUAUAAUUAUUGUUUUUUGUUGUUAUGAAAUAAUGAAAAAAUAUUCAUUUUUUUAAAUAUUUUAUAAAAAAUAGAGUUUUUUUUCCCCUUUCUUCCUCUCUCUUCUCUCCUUCUCAAACCCUAGCCGUCGCCCUUUUCUUCGUCUUCUUCUUUUUAGACGGGUGAUUUAGGGUCAAUUUUGACCCAAAAAUCACCCCUUGGAAUUGUUUUUCCUUCUAUCAUAAUUGAAUAAGUGAUUUCAUAUAUUUUCUGUUUUCUUUUGUUUGUUUUUGUGAUUUCGUCGUCUCUGAACGACUCUGUUUGUUUUGAUUUCACGUCUUUGUGCGGUGUGUUUUUGAUUUCCCGUCUUAGUGCGGUGUUUAUUUGAUUCAGGUUGAAUGAUCAGCUUUGAGCAAGUGUAGAUCCGAUCAAUGACAAUGACUUUGGCGUCAUCAACGUUGCAGAUCCGGAGACAUGAUUACAGUCAUAUUAGUCAUAUUUGUAGGCAUGUGUACUUUGCCGUUUUAUGCUAUUAACAUGGAUGUUGUGAGUUUAUUCACAGAUUCAUCCUUUUUGUUUUUAGCGAAUUUGGAUUUUUAUUGUAUCGAUGUACUCUAUCAAUUUGAAUGAAUGAAUAUCGUUUAUUUUUGUCAAAAAAUAAUAAAAAACAGAGUAUUUGCGGGUGGGAGUGGAGGCGGAUCUGGGAGACCCGUCCCCAUUGGAGGCGGGAUUGGGUGUUCAAUUUUUACCCUCGAUAUGGUUUGGGGACGAGGGCGGGGGCGGGUGCAUGGAAGCCGGGGCGGGGACGAGGAUGCUUAAACCCGACCCCGAUCCGCCCCAUUGCCAUGUCUAAAUGAGACACUUUUGUCAGGCUAAAACUUGUAUUGGUAUUGGGCACACAUUAAUGUACUUAAUGUAGAAAUACUCAUGCAACCAACUUAAAAAUAAAAAUAAAAAGUCACGCAACCAACUUUUAAAUAGUCAACAUAUUGAUUUUACACAUGUAAAAUUAUCAAUUUAAAGUUAUUUAAUAUCUACUCUUAAGACACAAGUUAACAAAUGAUCGAAAUUCUGUCUAUUUCUUUUGAGUUGAUUAUUAUAGUUUUGAAGUAAAUUAUAAAUGUAUGAAUUUCAAAAAUUUGUAAUAUCAACUAGACUCUUAUUCAUUCUUUAAUAGAGAGGAUAUCUACUUAUUAGCAAAACCUUUAAAUAUAACUUAAUUAUAGUUUAGUGAUCUUAACUAAUGGUUGAGAUUGAUUAAUGUGUGUAAAUGCGUGUUUAAUGUUUGAUAUUCCAAUUUGCAUUAAAUAAGUUUUUCCUUAAUGUUUUUCACUGCAGCGGAUCUGGGGGCUGCAAAGUGUACAAGCAAAAAUAAAUACUACAACACUAUGUUGACCAAAAAAGGAAAGAAUCGUUGCUUUACGAUAGUAAGCAAUUACGCAAGCAUUGAGGGCAUUCGAAUAUUUUCCUACAAGUCAAAAUGUCCAAACUAUACCAAGUUUCACAUGUUGAACUAAAAAAAUACUUUGCUUGAUUUCCAAGUUGAUCAACAACAAAAUCCGUUGACCACGUUUUCCUUUUUGACUUUCUCCACAGGUCUAUAAAUACGACGUGUUGAGUUUAAGUGUUCCUCACUAACCAACCUAUCUCAUACAUUAAUACCCAUGAUGAAAAGACAAAGAGAAAACGAAGAAAAAGAGAGCAUAGAUUUAGCAACAACUCUAAUGUUACUAUCUUCUCGUAUAACCCAACAAAACAAAACAUAUUCUCCAGUUGAGUUUGAGUGCAAAACUUGCAACCGUAAAUUCUCAUCUUUUCAAGCCCUAGGUGGUCACAGGGCAAGUCACAAGAAGCUGAAACUUCUUGAUUCAGAAGAAGCACACAAAGUGAAUAUUCAUAAUAAUAAGCCCAAAAUGCAUCAAUGUUCAAUUUGUGGACAAGAAUUCAAACUUGGUCAAGCUUUGGGUGGACACAUGAGAAGACAUAGGAUUAAUAAUGAAGGGUUUUCAUCUUCUUCAAUAAAUUAUCAAGUGAUAGCAAAAUCUUCUCCUGUUUUGAAAAGAUCGAAUAGCAAGAGAGUUAUGAUCAUGGAAUUGGAUUUGAAUUUGACACCUUUAGAAAAUGACUUGAAGUUGUUGUUUGGAAACAAGGCACCUAAAGUUGACAAUUCUUUGUUCUGAUUUUAGUCUCACUAACUUUUUGUACAUUAUAAUUCUUUCAAUUAUAUUUGUUUGUAGUAACAUUUAUUGGUUUAUGUAUUU